rnacentral:rRNA from 2 species
AAAAUGACUCUCGGCAACGGAUAUCUCGGCUCUUGCAUCGAUGAAGAACGUAGCGAAAUGCGAUACUUGGUGUGAAUUGCAGAAUCCCGUGAACCAUCGAGUCUUUGAACGCAAGUUGCGCCCGAAGCCAUUAGGCCGAGGGCACGCCUGCCUGGGUGUCACAA